UAAAAACUAAUUAUUAUAGAGUUGGAACGUUUCUCUACGUUUGCCGCUAGGGGCGCUGUUCCAACUGCAAUAUUAUUAUUAUUA
rnacentral:pre_miRNA from 1 species